rnacentral:rRNA from 1 species
GCCAGACUCCUACGGGAGGCAGCAGUGGGGGAUAUUGCACAAUGGGGGGAACCCUGAUGCAGCGACGCCGCGUGGGUGAAGAAGCGCCUCGGCGCGUAAAGCCCUGUCAGCAGGGAAGAAAAUGACGGUACCUGAGUAAGAAGCCCCGGCUAACUACGUGCCAGCAGCCGCGGUAAUACGUAGGGGGCAAGCGUUAUCCGGAUUUACUGGGUGUAAAGGGAGCGUAGACGGCAGUGCAAGUCUGGAGUGAAAGGCGGGGGCUCAACCCCCGGACUGCUCUGGAAACUGUACGGCUGGAGUGCAGGAGAGGUAAGUGGAAUUCCUAGUGUAGCGGUGAAAUGCGUAGAUAUUAGGAGGAACACCAGUGGCGAAGGCGACUUUCUGGACUGUACCUGACGCUGAGGCGCGAAAGCGUGGGUAGCGAACGGGAUUAGAUACCCCAGUAC